rnacentral:rRNA from 1 species
AUGGUAUGCACCGGCUCGCUGACUCCUCCUUCUUGUAGAACCGUAAUGCCAUUAAUUUGGUGUUGCGGGGAAACAGGACUGUUACUUUGAAAAAAUUAGAGUGUUUAAAGCAGGCCAACGCCUGAAUACAUUAGCAUGGAAUAAUGAAAUAGGACGUUCGAACCUAUUUUGUUGGUUUCUAGGAUUGACGUAAUGAUUAAUAGGGAUAGUUGGGGGCAUUAGUAUUCAAUUGUCAGUGGUGAAAUUCUUGGAUUUAUUGAAGACUGACUACUGCGAAAGCAUUUGCCAAGGAUGUUUUCAUUAAUCAAGAACGAAAGUUAGGGGAUCGAAGACGAUCAGAUACCGUCGUAGUCUUAACCAUAAACUAUGCCGACUAGGGAUCGGAUGAUGUUAAUUUUUUAAUGACUCAUUCGGCGCCUUACG